GGGUGGGUAAAUUUCAUCUAAAGCUAAAUACUGGUCGGAGACCGAUAGCGCACAAGUAGAGUGAUCGAAAGGUUAAAAGCACCUUGAAAAGGGAGUUAAACAGCACGUGAAAUUGUUGAAAGGGAAGCGCUUGCGGCCAGACUCGGGGGCGGGGUUCAGCGGGCGCUCGUCGCCCGCGCACUCCCCGUCCCCCGGGCCAGCAUCAGUUUCGACGGCCGGUCAAAGGCCCCCGGAAUGUGUCGUCUCUCGGGACGUCUUAUAGCCGGGGGUGCAAUGCGGCCCGUCGGGACUGAGGAACGCGCUCCGGCUCGGAUGCUGGCGUAAUGGCCGUAAGCGGC
rnacentral:rRNA from 1 species